UACGUAGGGCGCAAGCGUUAUCCGGAAUUAUUGGGCGUAAAGAGCUCGUAGGCGGUUUGUCGCGUCUGCCGUGAAAGUCCGGGGCUCAACUCCGGAUCUGCGGUGGGUACGGGCAGACUAGAGUGAUGUAGGGGAGACUGGAAUUCCUGGUGUAGCGGUGAAAUGCGCAGAUAUCAGGAGGAACACCGGUGGCGAAGGCGGUUCUCUGGGCAGUAACUGACGCUGAGGAGCGAAAGCGUGGGGAGCGAACAGG
rnacentral:rRNA from 1 species